AUAAAGCUUCCUGGAAAUGAAGCAAAGCUUUUAAGUGGACCUUCUGUAGAAUGAAGAAUGAGUCCUGGAUUCCUGCCAAAGUGCCGGCGCUUCUGUCUCGAUACCUGAGGCAGCAAACCUAACAAGAAUAAAUGCUGCCUCUGUGUGUGUGGAGGAGGCUCUCAUGACAUUGGUGUUGAUGGGUUUUGAGAAUGGGUUGGUACCUGUAUAGGUCUGGAGAGUAGGUUUCAGACAUGCCGGGUGAGGUUAUUAUUCCGCGUGAGCGGAAGUGGUCUGAUUUGUGCCCCAGAUGUCGGGGGCCUGCUCAAUGUCGGGGACUGUGCUGGGAGCAGAGUCUGUUCUUGCUACUGUAGUGAUUUUUGGAAGCAAGUUGUCAUGGUUUUAAACUAAUAGACAUCAUUCUUUUUGACUGCAGUUAUCUAGCAUCCAGCACACAAGAGGUCAAUAAAUGUGUAGGGCAUGUUUGAAGACAAUAUGGAAUUUUUGGUAAGGAUGCAAGAUUAAUUAGAAAGCUGAUAGAAUCCUGGCAAAGCAUGUGGCUAGGUGGUGUAACAUGAUGUGUUUGUGCCCUAGGAUGUCUCUGGCCCUUUUGACCACAGUUCCUGGCAGGAUGUUCCCACUUGCCAUUAUAAGGAUGCAAAAAGGGCCAUGCCCUUGGAUUGUUUCCCCUUGGCUCCUGAAUGAUAGUUAAGGACCUGACAUUUGAAGGUUGCUGUUUUGCCCUCAUUUUAGGCACUUUUCCAGUGAUUCCUGCUCCAUCUCUCCCAACGUUGAGUUAAAUCUUUGCACUCCAACUCAAGCACGUUCUCCUUACUGUUGUUGUUCUGGAUGACAUAAGGACAACCCUUUGAAAAAGAAAAGCUCUCUAGAGAGCCUAGAGAGGUAGGAGGUGUGUGCUUUCCCCCAAUAGGAAUUAGAUGUUUAAUAUUCAAUAAAUACUAACGACAGGAAACUAUUCUACUUUUCAUUAAUCUUCUUCAGUAAAUUUGUUAAGAAUAUUCUUAGCCACAGCAUCUUUGUCAUCUUGGAAACAUCUAUUGUGAAUCAUAUUCUUGAUUUUGUCUUCAUGUAGGUACGUGGGCUUUGAUGAUUCUUUGCCAGAACUCCUGUCCUUCCCUGGCUCCCUGGCCCAUAGCAUGGGAACGAGUACGGCAGGGUCUGAAAAUUAAGUUAGACAUUGUUCGUGCUGGUAGAUAUUUAGGGUGAAUAUUAAACAUGUACACACAGGAAAAUGUUUAUCAAAAAAGCCAUAUACAUAAAGUGGGAGGAUGUACUAGGUGAAAUCAUAUAAUUAAAUGACAAGGUUCUUAGUUUGAGACUUCAGAAUGUUCUGUUGUAUACUUUUUAAGCAAAUAGCAGACUUUGUCGGAAAGACACAUUUGUCUUAUGGAGCUCAGUAUCUGGAACAAGAUAGUUGGUCCUGCAAGGAGCUAAAUGACAACUGGAAAGUCAUUAUGAUCCAGAGCAGCACCAUCCCACACUUAUGGGGGGCUUUCUCAUACGUUCCUAUGCAUUUAUGUCAUAUUCUCUUUGCAAACUGUCUGUCUAGCUGCUGUUGGCUUGUAGGGCAGAUAUUCUGCUCUGGACCUAGCUCCUCGUUUCAGAACCACAAAGAGACUCCAUUCUCUAUCUAACUGUGAACUGUAUCCUGAAAUUUUCCACGAAGUCAUAAAGUUAGAAGUCUUGUAGCUAAGGUCACUACAGCUUUGUUUCUGGUUAAUUGCUGUUUCUCAAGGAACAGCUGAACAAUUGCCACCGUUGGGUGAUUCUGUAUAUGAAUGUGUUGUGAGCACAUUUCACAAUACCAAGUGUUAGAAAGUGCCCUUAAACCUUUAGUAUUCAUAGGCUACGUCUGGGAGACCCAGAAACAGAAACUUUUAUGGUUUCAACAGGCAGUGUUGCUGUUUUUGACUUCUCCUGGCAGUGUACUAUGUAAUGUGGCCACAGAGCUAUCAACAUACAGAUUAUAUCUAGUUAUAAAAUGUCAUAAGAAAAAGGAACAAACUGUUGACAUAGGCAAUGAUUUGGAUGGAGCUUAAGGCAUUGUACUGAGUGAAAAAAGCCAAUCUGCAAAGGCUGUGUGAUUGAUUCGAUGUACACAGCAUUCUCAAAAUGGCAACAUUAUAGAAAUUGAGAAGAGAUCCAUUUUUCCACGGUCACAACUGGGGGUGGAGGGGAUGUGGCUCUAAAGGGGUUGCCUGAGGGAAUUUCUCUGGGGUAAUAGAACAGUUCUGUGUCCUGAUUGUUCUCAUGGUCACAAGGAUUUUUAUGCAUGAGAAAACAUCAUAGAACUCUACACACAUCUAGGGAAUUUCAGUCCAAACUGAAAUUCUACUAAGUAGUUGAAUGACUAAUGCUGUAUCCGUGUCUAUUUCCUGGAUUAGAUCACUGUGUUGUGCUUGUCCUUUGUAUGGCUCUACCACAUUUUAUUGAACCAUUCACCCAUUGAAGGGCAUGUGGGUUGUUUCUAGUUUUUGACUAUUAUAAAUAAAGCUGCUCUGAACACUCAUGUACAGCUUUUGCGUGAAUCUCUGUUUUCAUUUUUUUAGUGUAAAUGCCCAGGAGUGCAACUGUUGUUUUCUACAUGGUUUUGGAAGAGUUGGACAUCUGUAGGCAAAAGGAAAAGAAAACAAGAAAACCAAGGUGUAAACCUCAUGUCUUCUGCAAAAAUUAAUGUUAAAUGGAUUCAUUGGAUCAUCUUUUUUGUCUUCAUUCAAAACCAGUUGGCUUACACUGCAAACAGCAUUCCAAAAUGAAGAUGGGAGGAAACGAGUGAGCAUUUAGCUGUCUUCCCAAAAGCUAAAAGAGUGGUGUCCCUUCAGGAUCUGAAGUACCUUGGCUUUCCUAGAGGGAUAAUGGUAGAUUUCAGAUCUUUGUCAUGACUUUGGUGAUGGACACUGAGGACUCCGCUGGACUUUGAAGCUAGGAACACUGCUUUUAGUAAGUUGUACAUGUCAGAAGAAGAGUCCUUUGUUGGCUUAUUGCUGAUGUGGAUGACGUUUCUUCUCUAAACUAAGAGGUAAGCAACUGAAAUGAGAAGAACACACAGAGUUCAUGAAUUGGCCCAACGAGGAAAAGUUAACAGAUCGCUUUUCUUUAUUUUGAUUUAAUCAGCAUGUGCUGAUACUUGUAUGUGAAGAACUAUACAGAGAAUGGUGAGGAACAGUGUCCUUCCAAAUCACUGAGGAGCCGACAGGGACACAUGGCUCUAAUUGCAGCAUUCGGGGUUUUAUUCUGAGGGAAGCAUUUCCAGUCAGUGAGGACAUCGUGUACUUCCUGCCAGUGAUCCAGAAGAUCUUCAAGGAUAAAAUAGGAACCUACAAUAGUAUACGAACACUUCGCUUAUAGUCAGCGGGAUGUGACAAGUGACAGCCCUCGAGCCCUAACUUCUUAAUUUGUGACUAAACGUACUCAGUUCCUCUUUUCUUAGAGCCCACUUCAUUUCUUGAUUUCUUACUUGGAGAAAAUUAUGCUUUUUUCCAAUUCAUCUGUGGGAAUCCGAUUUGGCUUCUGCUUUUUUUUGUGCAUUUAGAAGAUCUUAGAUAUAUUUUAGGCUUCUGUCCUUUUUUUAAGACCACUACGAAAUAUAAUUUAUUUAAUGUCAGACAAACUACUACAUAUCAAAGCAUUUCUGCUUCUUUAUUUAGAACAUGGAAAAGCAUAACAUCUUGUUUUUCCAAAAAAAAAAA